UACGGAGGGGGCUAGCGUUGUUCGGAAUUACUGGGCGUAAAGCGCGCGUAGGCGGCUUUGUAAGUCAGAGGUGAAAGCCUGGAGCUCAACUCCAGAACUGCCUUUGAGACUGCAUCGCUAGAAUCAUGGAGAGGUAAGUGGAAUUCCGAGUGUAGAGGUGAAAUUCGUAGAUAUUCGCAAGAACACCAGUGGCGAAGGCGGCUCACUGGCCCGGUACUGACACUGAGGUGCGAAAGCGUGGGGAGCAAACAGG
rnacentral:rRNA from 1 species